rnacentral:misc_RNA from 1 species
CAUAGCGGUGCUUGUUGGUGUCAUCCUAUUGUCCUUUGGUUUGCAUGGCUUUUGCAAGUCGUGUGAGUUGGGGUGCAUUAGAUGGCGUUGGCAUAGUGUACGUAAGGCGCGUGAGUGGUGUUUGGUUUGUUUGGGUGGGUUGGAUCCCUGCUUGUGCAGCGACGACCGCUCUUUCAUUCCUUUUCAUUCUUGAUCCAAGAGCAGUAAGCCUUGGAACAACUCGGUUGCCUGUGUUUUAUACCUAUGUUGAUGGAAUUCGUUUGUCCAAUUGCCCCUAAUUCAACUUGUGCUUCUCACGCGGUGCGAGAUGAACCAUGUAGUGUCCUUUGUUGUCCCUUCUUGCCUUGCGCUUGCGCGUCGCAUGAAAUGGCCAAUGUUGCGACACUCGAACUCUCGGAUACGGAACCUUAAGCGGGCAAAGGGUCUUUGGCCUCGAUUUGCCUAAACUAAGCGUUCUCGCUU